rnacentral:rRNA from 1 species
GAUGAACGCUAGCGGCAGGCCUAAUACAUGCAAGUCGAACGGGAUCCAGAUCAAAGCUUGCUUUGGUCUGGUGAGAGUGGCGCACGGGUGCGUAACGCGUGAGCAACCUACCCUUGUCAGGGGGAUAGCCCGGCGAAAGUCGGAUUAAUACCGCAUGACAUCAUUGAGAGGCAUCUUUCGAUGAUCAAAGAUUUAUCGGACAAGGAUGGGCUCGCGUGACAUUAGCUCGUUGGUAAGGUAACGGCUUACCAAGGCUGCGAUGUCUAGGGGCUCUGAGAGGGGAAUCCCCCACACUGGUACUGAGACACGGACCAGACUCCUACGGGAGGCAGCAGUAAGGAAUAUUGGUCAAUGGACGGAAGUCUGAACCAGCCAUGCCGCGUGCAGGAGGACGGCCCUAUGGGUUGUAAACUGCUUUUAUACGGGAACAAACGUCGGUACGUGUACCGGUCUGAGUGUACCGGAAGAAUAAGGAUCGGCUAACUCCGUG